AACCUUUCUAACUUAUAAAGAAACUCUUUACAGUAUGAAAGAGAAACAAAAAUUAAAAUCUUAGGUCCUGUUAUACCCAACUUUAAUGGGUUGAGCAGAGCCCAACCUUUCUGACUUACAAAUAGAAAAAACAACGCCCCCACAGAUACAAUGUCGUUCACUUGCAGGGUGCCUGGUUUUUGCUGGUCGUUGGGAGAGUGGCGGUUGGUUUGCUUGGAUUUGAUGUUUGGUUGAUUGGGAAUGGCGUGUUUCGGUUUCUUUCUGGCUUCCAUCUCUUCCCGUUUUGUGGACUCCUUGAGAUGCUACCAGAUAAGUCCAUGUUUCGUUUCUGGUUUAGUUUGCUUUUUAAUUGUCACUGCAAUUGUUCAUUUCUAAGCUUUUGAGGUCAAUUUUUGUCCGGGCUUGAUUGCGACAUUGCUGCUUUGGUUUUUGUUUUUGUAUUUGUUCUUUAAUAUUUGCUUAUUCGUUUCCUUUGUGUUGGCUGGUCAACUUCGUGCGAGAGAGUAUAUAUUCUUUUUUCUCAGUGGGUCAUGAUUUUUUACCACAUGUUCAAGGCUCCAUAUCUCCUGCUUUGCUUGCUGCCUUCUUUCGACUGUGCGAUUCUUUGCACUGCUUGCAAUCUUCUUUACUGUUUGUUUUGUUGGAGUUUUUCAUUCUUAAGUGCUUACGUUCUGCUGUUCAUGUGUUUGUUUUGCAGUUUGUUCUGUUGGGUAUUUUGGUUAUUGCAUACGGAGGCUGCUUUGCUGGGCUUGCUGUUUGUGAGGAUCUCUGUUUCCCCAGGUCUGUGUAUAUUGCUUUUCAGCCCUUUUUUGCCUUGCUGAAAUCUUUUUUGACGUGUUGCUGUCUUUUUGGGUGGAUGUUAGUUGCUUCCAAAAAACAAGGUUUUCUUUCCUCCUGGGUCAAAACAGAGUUGCUUUUGAUUCAUUGCAUUGGUUGCUUGGGGUGCUCACUGUCCACUUAUGGCCCAUUUUUAAGAACCAGUCUAUGUUUAAAAAUGGUGUUUUGACUGCGUUGGUUGUCUGGUGUGUGUUGGCUGUUCAUUAUUGUGUUUUUAAACGAAGUCAUCGUGUGCGUGUCAUUGCACUAUUGAUCAUUAGGAUCAUGCUGUUUGUGUUAGUCUAGGAAUUGGAGUUUUUUCAGUUGUCUAUUUUCGGUGUUCUGCCCUUUAAGUGGUCACCAAAUUUGUUUAGGCAAGGCUGCUUUUGGUGCUUUCAAUCUUGUUUUUCUGUCAGAUGCUGGGUUAAGGCUGCCAAAUAGUUGCUUUGCAUAGCACAGUGAGACACUACCAGUGGUUGGGCAUUAAUACUUAACACAAUUGUUGUGCAAGGAAAAAAACAUUGAAUCUCAGCUGGACUUCCCUCACUAGCCACAGUCAAAUCCGUAGCGACAAUGCUCUGAGCUGGUGGUAGAGGAUAUACUGAGUACAGCAAACCUUAGUAAAGCAGGGCGAUUACUGUUAUAACCAGAAACACAGACAGUGAUGUUAACUUGCUUAAGAUUACUGUUAUUAAAAACUAAAAAUCAGUAUGUUAUAUGAGUUUAUUUGAAGCUUAGGUUAUGAAAGUUUCAAUGUUGUAUAAGAGAGGGUAUCAAUGUUGACCCGAGGGAGAGUAGUUAAAGAAACUUGCAAUGAAAAAUGGUUUUGCGCUUUAUGCAUUUUCUCUUUUUUGGUUCAAAUUGAAACCCACAACUUCUUUUCUUCUCGUGCCCUUUAAGUGGUCACCAAAUUUGUUUAGGCAAGGCUGCUUUUGGUGCCUUCAAUCUUGUUUUUCUGUCAGAUGCUGGGUUAAGGCUGCCAAAUAGUUGCUUUGCAUAGCACAGUGAGACACUAGCAGUGGUUGGUUACCUUUCAUGAGAGAUAAUGCACUGUUGUCUUUGAAUGAAGACAUUGUUUGUGGUCUUAUGAAGAUGCUUGAUGGAACAAACGAGCUGGUAAAGUUGUUUAGGAAUGCAAAACAAAGAAAUGCAAAUUCUGAAUGUCCUAGCUAUACAAUUUGCUUGCUUGGGAAAAGAGAUGGUGAUUUGCGGCAAUAUGAUACUCCUUCAUCAAAUGAUGUUAGUGGCUUGGUUGUUGGAGAUAUUGGGGAUUUUUGUUCCAAACAUGACAUCAUUAUUGAAAGUUGUUCUGGUUCUUUGCAAAGGAUUUCAAAGUUAUAUCCGAAGUUUAUGUCUCUACAAUAUCCUUUGUUGUUUCCCUAUGGCAAAUAUGGAUAUCAGUGCGAUAUUAUGUUUGCCAACAAUGACCAACAAUCAUUGAGGAAACGCUUAAGAGUCCCAAUGAGAGCUUAUUAUGCUUCCCUCAUUAAUGAAAUAGUUGGGUUCAAGAAUAUCAUCAUCAAAGGUGGCUACACCAACAAUUUCUGGUUGAUGCAACGUGAUUGCAUCAGAGCUAACCAAAAUGAUCUUAGAACUGAAGUCUAUAAAGGCAUUCAUGAAGCUGUUUUAAAGGGGGAUGUUGAUGGGAACGCAACUAGAAAAGUUAUUGUUCCCUCUUCUUUGAAUGGUAGUCCACAUUAUACGAUUAAUAAUUAUCAAGAUGCCUAUAUGCAGGACUUAUGAGAAUCUUGAUCUUUUCAUUACAUUUACUUGCUAUGCUAACUGGCUAGAGAUUCGAAGGGAACUUCGAAAAAAAGGUCUUACUAGUAGGAAGACAGGUCAGACAUCAUUACAUGCAUUUUUGGAACUAAACUUACUGAUAUGCUAUUGUUUAUAAAAUCAGGGAAGUCAUUUGGUCGGACAAUUUCAGGUAUUCUCUAAUAUUUGUAAAGUCUUUUGCUUUCCUUUUUAACACCAUCCUUUAUUCGGUGAUUUAAGAAAUCAUGAAUUUGGGUGCGUUCUCUAUCUUGCCAGAUGUGCGUUGUUGAAUUUCAGAAAAGAGGUCUUCCACACAGCCACCUGUUGGUAUGGCUUGCUGCUGAUUUCAAGUGCCAUAUAGCGGAAGAUGUCGAUUCGAUUGUUUCCCCUGAAAUACCUGACAAAAACAAGGACCCAAUCUGUUAUGAUAUUGCCCGGCGAUUUAAGAUGCAUGGUCCCUGCAGUCUGGCAAAUCCAAAAGCUCAGUGCGACGAGAGCAACGUGAAAGCUUUAUUCUUAAAGAUGGGAUUCAACUGAGCAAUAUUCAUGAAUUGUUGUUACGAUACAACGCUCACAUAAACAUUGAAAUUUGCUUGUUAAGGAUCUUUUCAAUCAUGUCAGCAAAGGUUCUGAUAGGUGUAGGAUAUCUGUUGGAGAAUGUAACAACAAAUGAGAUAAAAGCAUAUCUAAACUGUCGCUUCAUCUGUCCUUACAAAGCAAUUUGGCGUCUGCUCCAAUUUCCAAUUCAUUCAAAGUCGAAAUCUCCAAUUUCCAACUCGUUCAAAGUCUCCCUGUGUUCAAUGGCUUCGGGUGCAUUAGCCACAACAUCAAAACAUUGUUUUUCCGGGUAGUCGGCCUCUCCCCUCAGUUUUGAGAAGGCUAGGUAUUGAAAAAACAAUGCCUACACAGUGGUUGUUUGUACAGAACUAAAUUGAUACAAAAGCAUGACACAAGAUUCACACGCAGAGCAUCAAUAGCUGACUUUGAUUUGUCCAAGGGGUGGUGGUAUCCGAGGUGUCCACAUUGCAACAAAAAACUCAGCGGCACCGGAACAAAUUACAGAUGCAUUGGUCACGACUCCAUUACUUUUGUUUAAAAAGAUUGAAAAAUCAAUUCUGUCAUUUGUCAUGUUGUUCACAUCUGUGUAAAUCAUUGCAAAAAAACAAAUAGCCAUAUAUCAAAACUACAUGAAACACGUUUCCAACUCAUUCCACACAGUUAUGGUGGAAUUAACAACUACUCGAUUACUACAAAUU